CCUACGGGAGGCAGCAGUGAGGAAUAUUGGUCAAUGGCCGUAAGCCUGAACCAGCCAAGUAGCGUGCGGGAUGAAUGCCCUACGGGUCGUAAACCGCUUUUGCGCGGGGAUAACACCGUCCACUUGUGGAGGUCUGCAGGUACCGUACGAAUAAGGGCCGGCUAAUUCCGUGCCAGCAGCCGCGGUAAUACGGAAGGCCCGGGCGUUAUCCGGAUUCAUUGGGCUUAAAGGGAGCGUAGGCGGGCGUUCAAGUCAGCGGGAAAAUCGCGCGGCGCAACCUGGCACCGCAGUUGCAACUGGAGGCCUUGAGUGCACAACAGGCAGGCGGAAUUCGUGGUGUAGCGGUGAAAUGCAUAGAUAUCACGAGGAACCCCGAUUGCGAAGGCAGCCUGCCGGGGUGCGACUGACGCUGAGGCUCGAAGGUGCGGGUAUCAAACAGGAUUAGAUACCCUAGUAGUC
rnacentral:rRNA from 1 species